rnacentral:sRNA from 1 species
AUUUAGUUUUGUUUUUUAUGCAAAUCCAGAGUUUUUUGCAAGCCUCUGUUUUUCUUCUCAAACUCGAUAAGGAAAGUUUCGUUCAAUGCUGAGACUUGGGGAAAACUAUGUCAAAUUUAAUUUUCUUUCUUGAAAGUUUUACAAGCUUCUAGACUGAAAUCCUAAGUAAUGGAAAAUAAAGUUUUAUAUGGUUAAGCCCAAUUUAAAGGCCUGGACUUUUGCAAGGUGCAUUGUCAUCCAAUAUUUCUAAGACCAACUCGAUGGCUUGAUGUUUGGACAAAGCUAUGAGUUUUAGUUCAAUUUUAUGUAAAUAUUUAUGGAGUCCAUUGUGGUGCAGAGUUUGGUAUGUUCGAAUAUGGCGCUGAACUUAUAAUUUUGAAUUGGAUCACUGAUUGUUAUGUGAGAAACCACCCCGCCAUUCCUAAAUGGAUUGUUCUUGAAAAAUUUGGAUUUUUCUAUAAAGAAGUUCUUGAGCACUUUGACAGGUCUUGGAAUUUUAAUCAGAGACAAUAUUCGCUAAACCGACCUUAAGAUAUGCCUUUUAAAUCAUUCUUCAUUUUUGGUUUACAAUUCUUUAGGUCAAAACCAGAAUGGUAUUUUUGUAUCCGGGACUACAUAUUUUGUGUUAUGCUUCUGCAACGUUUUUACUUCGGCUAUUAAAGGAUAAAUUGAAACUGCGGGGCGAAAUUCAAUUUUGGAAAAGAUAUCUUAACAUGGCCUCAAAUUUGAAUGCCAGAACAUAUAAGGUAAGAGUGUCACAGUAUUAGAGCGUGAAAAAGUAUGACAAAAUUCGCACUAAGGUCUUGUACUGACUUCGAUUUUUCGACCGAACAACUCAAAACGCAUUAUAAAAAAUGGUGACGAAGAAAAUGCAAACACAUUCCGUAGACGUGGUAAUGAGUUCUAUGAGUUAAAUCAACUCUGCUUCAAUGCUGUUGUCUACGUUAUAUUGUUGUUUGUGUUCUGGUAAAAAUGUCCGUCGGAUUCGGAAUAUUUUAAUAGGCAUUUUCGCUGCGAACGAAAUCAGUACUAGGCUUUACUUCCAAUCUACAAAAAUUGUAUAACUAUUCGUUCGUCCAUAAAAUGAAGUUUAGUGUUUCCCUCUAUGAAAUAAGUAAUGUUAAAAAAAAUUUACA